UUUUCUUUUCUUUUCUUUUCUUUUCUUUUCUUUUCUUUUCUUUUCUUUUCUUUUUUUUCCCCCUACCCUCACUUGUUGUUUGAAAUCUUUACCACUUUCAAGGAUGAACACAGUGCCCAUAAUGUGACACCUCAUGACUCUAGCUGAUCCUGCAGAAGAAAACAGGAAUAGAAGGGAAAAAAUAUUGUGGAAGAGCCGCAUCCACUUGCAAAACCACUGGGGCCCUUGUUUCUAUGGCUUCCUGAGCCUUGAGUGCCCUUGUCCAUGCUUGGCUUCCCAGCGCCCACGUGCAGGCUCCCUCUCAUCAAAGGCCUAGGUCAAUCCGAGGAGAUCUCUGGAGGAAGUCCAUCCAUCCUGUUCCUACGCAGUCAGGAUAGGAUUUUCUGCAGUCAGGUUUCUGCAUGCCACUACAAGAGACUCUGGAGCCACUGGAGAAGCGUCUGUGAUGUUCAGAGAGCACCCAUUAAAAUAUGGCUUCCAAACAGAGAAGGAACAUUGCUAAACAUCUUCUAUCUGCUAAUCUUGCAAGUCUCUCCUGCUUUACUUACCAACCAGAGCAAGUUUUGACUGCUGACCAUGCUGCACAGCCAACCCUGCUGUGAAAGAGAAAUGAAAUGCACUCUGCCUCAGGCACUACCAGCAGGACUGUCAGUACAGCAGCUCCUGCUCCAAGAUCUCUUGAGGUGAUAUAUGAGACAGAGUGCCAUACGACUGUCAGACACAAGCGGAGGCUUGUGGCAGGCUGGCAACCAUAGAAAUCUCAUUUUGGAUUGUGAACUAUACUUUUAUAGGACCCCUGCCUGAAACCUUGCUUGUCUCUGGCCAGACUCCUGUGACUUUGGUUUAGUUAUUUUAAAACAGUUUUUUGGGUAUUAGGAUGUCUUUGGAACUUUACUGUGAAUGAGAUCUUGAAUUCCUUCAAAAGGCCUUUGGAAUGCCUAGGUGCGCUGUUCAGAAAGUCUGCUUGUGAAAACAACAGCUUGAUGUUUUGUACUGGCACUAGCAUCUAUAUAGGCUAAUGCGAAUUUUAUCUUGGCAGGGACCGAGUAAAAUGCAGCCUUGAAGAUUUGGCUAUGUGUGAAUAUGAACAAUGGUGAUAUGUUCAUAACAAAUAUGAAGCGUCAAGUGAUACAUUUUACAGGAUCCUUGUGACUGUUGCAAGAAAUGUUAUUUUGCAGCAAAGGCAAUAAAUAUGUG
rnacentral:lncRNA from 1 species